rnacentral:rRNA from 1 species
GACGAACGCUGGCGGCGUGCUUAACACGUGCAAGUCGAACGGAAAGGCCCUGCUUUUGUGGGGUGCUCGAGUGGCGAACGGGUGAGUAACACGUGAGUAACCUGCCCUUGACUUUGGGAUAACUUCAGGAAACUGGGGCUAAUACCGGAUAGGAGCUCCUGCUGCAUGGUGGGGGUUGGAAAGUUUCGGCGGUUGGGGAUGGACUCGCGGCUUAUCAGCUUGUUGGUGGGGUAGUGGCUUACCAAGGCUUUGACGGGUAGCCGGCCUGAGAGGGUGACCGGCCACAUUGGGACUGAGAUACGGCCCAGACUCCUACGGGAGGCAGCAGUGGGGAAUAUUGCACAAUGGGCGGAAGCCUGAUGCAGCAACGCCGCGUGCGGGAUGAAGGCCUUCGGGUUGUAAACCGUUUUCGCCUGUGACGAAGCGUGAGUGACGGUAAUGGGUAAAGAAGCACCGGCUAACUACGUG